CACAUUAUGGCUUUGGCCAUACCGAGAGCUCUCCACUGAGAACGUCAGGCAGAAGAGACCUGGGGCUGGUUGCCUGAGUACUGCCAGGGGAAACGAGAAGAGGAGCAAGCAGUACAGUUGUCCUUAGAUAUGUUUCGAAGUGAUUGAUGCUACUUGUAAUAGAGUGCGGAAAAGUUCAAGGCGAAGAAACCAUAGCAGUAAAGAUAAUCAGGGAGCAAUGGAAACUUCAUCACCUCACUUCAGCGAUUGCUAGAGCAACAGUCAGAGGCUCAACAAGAGGCUGGAAGAACAUUGUGGUCUCCACCUCGCAGAAUAGCAGAUAUCUGGAGAAGACGCCAGGACAGCAGAAGAUGCUUUUUUUCUCAAGUGCGCGUGGAACAUUCCUUACAACAUUAGACACAAAAGGAAGCUUAGUUCAUCUACAAGGAUUAAAAAUACGACGUAUGUUCUAUGACCAUGAUUAAACGAGUUUGAAAAAAGAAUAUUAGAGCCUUCUGCAUUAAGAGGAGAAACGGGAUCUGCUCGGUGCUCCCACGUAGGGAUGCUUGGGACACGAUUUAGGAAAGAGCCUGAAUUCUUGGGGUCUAGGUUUCAUUAUCUGGGGCCUACUGCCUGCUGCGCUGUCUGCCACUG
rnacentral:sRNA from 1 species